rnacentral:lncRNA from 1 species
UGGAGAGGUCAGGAGACACAAAAACAUCAGUUAAAGAAGGAGAAAGAUCACCAACAACACUGAUAGGCAGAGAACUGCCAUCAACGGUACUAAUUUUCAGAUUUCCAUCAUAAUUUCUGACAUUAGAAAGAGGAACGGUAGUAUUGGUCAUAUGGUUGGAGGCACCAGAGUCUAAAUACCAUGGCUUAAAAAGAAGUUUAUGAUUACCUGAGAACCCAAGAGCAGAAAGAGCAGAAAUGAUCAUUUGUUGUACCAUUUCAGGAGUAAGUGUAUUCGGGUUUGCUAAGCCUGUAGGAGUAGGAAUAGGAACAACAGGUGAGGCAAUAGGCAAUGCAGCAGAACCAGAGGCACCAAUGGAGGCAUGAUAAGCAGUUCCUUGUUUCCUUUCAGGUCGAAUGGGACAAGCAGAGAUGAUAUGACCAUGUUUCUUACAGUAGUUGCAGAAUUUCUUAGGGCAAUCCCGAGCAAUAUGACCAAAACCUUUACAACUAAAACAUUGGACAACAUGCAUAUUUCUACCUUUAUUUCUCCCCUGUGCUGCAUAAGCCACAGAAACAGGUGCACUAACAUUUGCCCUAUGUUCCAUAGCCGCCUGAGUUAUGAUACGCUGCUCCUCACGAAGAAGUUCACUCAAACAGGCAUCUAAAGAUGGUACAGGAUGCCGAUUCAUCAAAUUAGAGCGUGCAGUUUCAAAAUCAGAACGGAGCUUCAUCAAGAAUUGAUCUCUCUUGCUUGUGUCGUGCAUUGCUUGAACAGCAGAGAGAGCUGCAGUAGGAACAUUAGCAUAAACAAUAUUUGAAUAAUUAGCCCAAAGAUUUUGAAAACCGGAAAAGUAUUCCUCAAUAGAGAGACUUCCUUGUGUGAAGUUAGCCAUCUCAUACUCUAAUUGAAAACGCCGAGCUGUGUUAUCCUGAUUAUAAACCUUAUUUAGAUAAUUCCACAUAGCAGCAGCAGUUUUAUAAGGCCUCAAAUUGAGAACAAGAUGAGGUUCUAUUGAGCUAAGGAUCCAGGUCAUAACGCGAGCAUCCAUGAUUUCCCAUCUAGACAAAGCAUCGACAUCUGUAGGUGCAGGAUUACUCCCAUUAAUAUGCCCCCACAGUUCUUUCCCUUUGACGAAUAAUUGAAAUUGAAACUCCCAAGCAGAAUAAUUUUUCCCAUUAAGACGGAUAUGGAACAAGUCUAGCUUAUCCGAAGACAUGAUAAAGCUGAAAAGAAAUAGAUUUUGAAACUGAAACUGACAGGGAAUUAGUGCAAUGGAAGAGGGAUACACACCAGAUUCUGAAGCCAAGAGUUGCUGAGAAUAGCAGCAAAAAGACUGAUCUGAAACUACUGAGAAUAGCAGCAGAAAACCAAGAUCUGAAACAGCCAAGAGUUGCACUAGAAACCCAAUAUCUGAAACGAAGAAGAAUGAUUCUGAAAAUACCAAGAACACCACGAAAGAAGGAAGAUCUGAAGCUGCCAAGAAUAACAUCAGAAAAGCACGACAGAUUUGCAGAUUUUGAAACCAAGAACUGUGAAGAAUAGCUGCAGAGAAAACAAGAAUAACACAAAGUUGGAAAUUAAGGAUCCAACAACCACUCCUUCUCUCUCGCCUGCACACUUUCCACCAGGAGUAAUAUGAAUAAGAUGGGCCCAAGAUGAGUAAGGCAACUACAGCAAGAGCCAAAGGAAAAUUCAAGACAGAGGCAAGCAAGGAUUUGGAAGAAGCUCUGAUACCAUGUCAAGGAACCAUAUCAACCCAAUAGCUUAAGCUGUUAGGUAAGGUCCCAGGAUAUGAUUUAUAUUAUUCUCUAACACACCCCCUCAAGUGAAAGCCCUUUGAGCUUGAAACUUGCACAGGCCCACAGUACCUUUGUGCUUAAUUUUUAUCAAAUAAAUAGGGAUGGUGAGAUUCGAACUCGAGACCACUUGGUCAUCAAGGCAAGCAAGGAUUUGGAAGAGGCUCUGAUACCAUGUUAAUCUAUUCAAGCCAAAAGCAGAGUACCAAGAGAGUUAAUCAAUUUAUUAACUUUUCAGAAUGUCUUUCCCUGCACUCGGCAUAAAGUAGCCUUUUAUACAUUGCAGGUUAUUUUGCCAUACAAGGAGUCUACAUAGAAGGUUAUUUUGCUAUACAAGGAGUCUAUAAUAAGAUAAUCUUGAUAGUUAAUAUUAAGAGUCCUAAUUGUAUACAUAUACGGUAACAG